UAGGGAAUCUUCCACAAUGGACGCAAGUCUGAUGGAGCAACGCCGCGUGAGUGAAGAAGGCUUUCGGGUCGUAAAACUCUGUUAUUGAAGAAGAACGUGUGUGACAGUAACUGGUCAUGCAGUGACGGUAUUCAAUCAGAAAGUCACGGCUAACUACGUGCCAGCAGCCGCGGUAAUACGUAGGUGGCAAGCGUUGUCCGGAUUUAUUGGGCGUAAAGCGAGUGCAGGCGGUCUUUUAAGUCUGAUGUGAAAGCCUUCGGCUUAACCGAAGAAGGGCAUCGGAAACUGGGAGACUUGAGUGCAGAAGAGGAGAGUGGAACUCCAUGUGUAGCGGUGAAAUGCGUAGAUAUAUGGAAGAACACCAGUGGCGAAGGCGGCUCUCUGGUCUGUAACUGACGCUGAGGCUCGAAAGCGUGGGUAGCAAACAGGAUUAGAUGCCCUGGUAGUCCACGCCGUAAACGAUGAAUACUAAGUGUUGGAGGGUUUCCGCCUUCAGUGCUGCA
rnacentral:rRNA from 1 species